rnacentral:rRNA from 1 species
CACGUAGGGUGCGAGCGUUGUCCGGAAUUAUUGGGCGUAAAGAGCUCGUAGGCGGUGUGUCGCGUCGGCCGUGAAAACUUGGGGCUUAACUCUGAGCGUGCGGUCGAUACGGGCAUCACUUGAGUUCGGCAGGGGAGACUGGAAUUCCUGGUGUAGCGGUGAAAUGCGCAGAUAUCGGGAGGAACACCAGUAGCGAAGGCGGCUCGCUGGGCCUUCCUGACGCUGAGACGCGAAAGCAUGGGGAGCAAACAGGG